UACGGAGGGGGCUAGCGUUGUUCGGAAUUACUGGGCGUAAAGCGCACGUAGGCGGCUUUGUAAGUUAGAGGUGAAAGCCUGGGGCUCAACUCCGGAAUUGCCUUUAAGACUGCAUCGCUAGAAUUGUGGAGAGGUGAGUGGAAUUCCGAGUGUAGAGGUGUAAUUCGUAGAUAUUCGGAAGAACACCAGUGGCGAAGGCGACUCACUGGACACAUAUUGACGCUGAGGUGCGAAAGCGUGGGGAGCAAACAGG
rnacentral:rRNA from 1 species